AUUGAACGCUGGCGGCAUGCUUUACACAUGCAAGUCGAACGGCAGCGCGGGCUUCGGCCUGGCGGCGAGUGGCGAACGGGUGAGUAAUGCAUCGGAACGUGCCCAGUAGUGGGGGAUAGCCCGGCGAAAGCCGGAUUAAUACCGCAUACGACCUGAGGGUGAAAGCGGGGGACCGAAAGGCCUCGCGCUAUUGGAGCGGCCGAUGUCGGAUUAGCUAGUUGGUGGGGUAAAGGCUUACCAAGGCGACGAUCCGUAGCUGGUCUGAGAGGACGACCAGCCACACUGGGACUGAGACACGGCCCAGACUCCUACGGGAGGCAGCAGUGGGGAAUUUUGGACAAUGGGGGCAACCCUGAUCCAGCCAUGCCGCGUGCGGGAAGAGGGCCUUCGGGUUGUAAACCGCUUUUGUUCGGGAAGAAAUCCUCUGGGCUAAUACCCCGGGGGGAUGACGGUACCGGAAGAAUAAGCACCGACUAACUACGUG
rnacentral:rRNA from 1 species